GGGGGGCUGCGGGAUCUCUGCCCCCACCCCUCCCGCCUCGGUCCCGGGAGUCUCUAGACCCCACCGUCCAGACGCCCCCCUUAGGCUCCCGCACCGAGCCCCAGUCCAGGAGCGGCGCUCAGUGGCCCCCAAUAGAGCCCAGCCCCUUCCAGCGCUCAAACUCUUUUGUUUUAAAUGAACUGGAUGGAGCAGCAUGGAACUGACGGGAGGGGGGCGCGCCGGGGGCGCCCGGGGCAUGCCGGGAGUUGUAGUUCCCGCCCUCGGGGGCGCGGGGACGAAUUCCUUGACCCGAGGAAGACAGGGAUGUGCCUUCGGUCUUUACGCUCUGCUGGGAGGCGAAGCCGGGGGUGGGAAGGCAGUCGAGGUCCCUCAUUUUUAAAGAGGAAAGGAGUCAGUGUACAGAAACGGAACGGGUUGAAAACAGGCUAAUGGAGUGUGCCCCCCUCCCAAAACGGGCUCCUUCGCGAUCCCGGCCAGUCUUAGGUCCCUCUUUCUUAUGGUAAUGAGGCGGGGGGAGAGGGCGGGGAGCUGUCCCGGCUGGGCCACUGCGGCUUUCUCUGGCUUUCUCUCUCCUCUUCCCCCUCCCUGCCGCGCUCCCUCUCCGCUCUCCGCUCCCCCCUCCCGUUCUCCCAGAGUCGAUCCCGGCUCCGGGCCGCGGGCAGAGGUUCUCCGCAGAGCAGACAAAGCCCGCAGCGGCGAUGCGUGGAGAACACGGCUCUGCGCGCUGGGGGGAGGGGGUGGGGGGCCGGGAUGGGGUGCCGGGUUGGAGGGUGGGACCCCCUGGCAAAAGACGGGGUCCCCUCUUCCCCAAGCGGCAAGCCAUCCCCCUUCCUCCCUUCCCUCCCCCCAGUCUCGGAGAUCAGAGAAGCACCGACUGGGAGGGUGGACCCAUGGGGCCUGCAGUCACUCUGGCCGACCCUUCGACCCUCAAGAACCUCCAUCAGCGCCAGGGAGCCUGGGCCCGGAACUGCCUCUCUGCCCCAGCAGCACCCUCUUGGUGCCCUUCCCUCCCCUUCCUGUGCCCCAAUUUCCAGAGGGUCUGAACCCACUGACCCCCAAAGAGAAGCCCUGCAGAGCAGAGACCUCACCCUGAGAAGGUGGGUAAAAAGAAGAGAGCCCCUGUUACGUGUCAGGCCAUGAGCCGGGCCCGUGGCAUGUCUUCUGUCCUGGGGAGUGGUGUCAGGACGUCUCUUCUGCAUAAGGAAAUCGGGGCUCAGCCAGGGCAAUGGAUGGGAACUUCGAGGAGGGUUGGGAGGUCAUCUCAACCCCUUCUUGCAGGCUGUGAGCCCUCCCACCCUUCCCCAGAGCUCCCAUCUGCUCCCCUGAGGGUCCUGGGCUAGCGGUCCUCCCCUGUCCCCUCCCAGCUUCUGACUAAUUCUUUCUGGCAGCAGUUGUAUGCCCAGCCCCCCACUGUGCCCAUGCCAGCGACAGCCCACAUCACAUGGGCCACAUCUGGCUCCAUUUGAGCACACCCUCGCCUCCUCUGCCCUCCCCCUCCUCUGCCCAGGGGCCAGGACAGGAGGGACUCCUGAGAAUCCCUCUUCUCUGGGUCUAGCAGCCCCCAGUUGCCUGCCCUUGCAUAGCCUCUAAUGGAGUCACUUCUUCCCCGCCUUUCCGCCUCCGCAUCCUCUCUUGCAGCCUGCACCCCCUGGACAUCUUGACUCCAUCCUUCAGCAUCCUUUGCCUCACUGUAUCCUGACUGCUUGGACCAUCCUUCUCUCCAGCCUCCACUGAACAACAGAUUGGGAAGGGGAAUUUCACAAGGUUUGAGUGGCAGAGAUGUCCUAGGGUAGGCAGAAGGCCUGGCAGCCCCGGGAUGAACUUGCCCCUAGCCCAGCCCUCUGUCCUCUUACCAGCUUGGGGUUUGGUGGGGGCGGGGGGGUGGACAUUGGUAGGGGUGAUUCCAGGAUAUGUGUGCUUGAAGGGAUGUGGCCACGCCUGUGUGGUGGGGGUGGAGGGCUGAGGAGAACAGUGUGGCUCACCCUCUCUUUUGUGAGGAUGGGAGGAGCCUGGAAAGCCCUCUAGCUACUGGCUUUCCUCCUCCUUCCUCCUUACUUAGCAACUGUUGCCUGGUAAAUAUUUGCCCC
rnacentral:lncRNA from 1 species